AUUUUGACAAGGGUAUGCCUGCUGUUCUUGUGAUAACUUUUAUUUGUUAAACUCUUAUGCCUCAAGCUUUUGUAUGUUCAUAAUAAUGGAUUUAUGUAUUUAUUUAUUUUUUUGGUUGGAAUCACUAAAGCCUCAAUAGUGCUCCAUAGGAUAAAACUUAGUUGUUAUGUUGUGCUGUUCCAGUUGCCAUACGUUUUCAAAUUUCAAAACUUACUGCCUAAUUCUUGAUGUUUCUAAAAUAACCAAAGAAUCUGCCUUACCUUUUUCUCUUCCACUAGGGAUGCUCCAAGCUCUUGUUCAGGCAUUGCUCCAUCUAGAUAUAUAUGCACCCAUAAAAAAACUUUUCCCUUCUCCUAAUUGACCUUUAGAUCCCUUUUCCUGUCAUCUGCCAGGGAACCUUUGGAUUUUGUGCAGAAAGUAAUAGGGGAUGAAACUCAAAUUUUAGAAUUAUUAUAUGAUUUGGGACAUGAUAUGGAUUCUUACGAUCAUGAUAUGGAUUAUAUGAUUUAGGAUUUUUUUUUCUUUUAAAUUUGCGAGAGAAUAUUAUUUAAAGGAUUUUAUGUGAUUUAGUUUUCGCGUUUGGGUUGAUAUGUAGUUAUUUGUUAGAACAUUAUUGGCAUAGAAUUUUAUCUUCUUCAUUUCAUGUUUUGUAAUGGUUUGGUCUCUAUAAAGGGCAUUGUACAUGAUUGAGUAGAAUGAAAUAAAAAAUGAUUGAAUUUGGGUUGUUUUUUCUUAUGUAUAUAUAUAUAUUCUCCUUCUAUCUUUCUUUUCUUAUUUAUUUUCGUCAUGCUUUUUGUCAAUAGCGAUUCUACUGUUAAAGCCUUUGGAGAAUUCGCUUUGCCUUGUUAUGGAAAAUACAAAUGUUAAGUGUGCAAUGGUUGGGUAUAUUUUGGAAAGUGGCUAUGAUAUGCUUUGAUUCUCUUAUUUGUUUUCCUUUCCUCUUUUAGUAGUUAAUGACCAGCGUUAUGAAUAUUUCCUUGACAGUGUGUAUGUUUAUUAUUACCAGGGAAAGAUUCCUUUAAUAGGUUGUGGGGGUAUUAG
rnacentral:misc_RNA from 1 species